UCUCUCUUGAAUUCUUUUUGAGGCUGUUUUUGGCUACACGUUAUUACCAAUUAAGCAAAAAACAAGCAUCAAGAACUGACAAGAAAUUCUGAUUAAUAGAUUUAUAGUUUUGUCGCCACAAUUCUGUAUAUAUUUAUAGAUACUCAGCAUCUGGAAUUCCAUUAACGUGACUACAACGACCUAGAAACUAUGAUUCGUGUGUACUUUAGGUUUAUGCCCAACCUCAUUUACUGUCCAUUUGGCGGAAUCGCUGAGAAAAGAAAAGAAAUUGUUGUGCUUUGAUUAAGAAAAUAAGAGAAAUUGUAGUGCUUUGAUUUAUUUACCAGUUAAAGAUGUUGGGAUGCUAGUCAUUUUUGUAAUGUUCAUAUCGACGCGUACCAAAAACAUUUUAAAAGCAAAUAGACGUAUAAACGAAAUGGGUUCUGUAUCUAUAAUGGUGACCCUAGAUAUCAAAAUGGGUUGAUUCUUUUUUUUCCCAUUUCUGUGUUCUUCAGGACAUUUGUUGGUGUGGGUUGUUGGCCUGGUGCUUGAAUUUGGUUUUGUAAAACUUUGAAACAUCAUCAUAGUGUGAUUUUUUUUUUCUUGGUUUGUCAAGGUUCUGUAUCUAUAGUGGUAACCAUGGCUAUCAAAAUGGCUGGUUUAUUCAUUUUUCCCAUUUUUUGAGUUCUGUUUUGUGUUUCUGCGUUUUAAAUUCUAAAGGGUGCGGACUGUGAUAUUCUUGCUUUGAGCAUUGGUUAACAUUUCUAGGUCGAAUAGAUGCUUGAAUGCAAAUGAUGUUGGUCGGAUUGUAAGCAAGUAGAGCCGCUUGAGAAUUUAACCAGUUUUGAAAAGUGUGUUUGAAAACUUAAAAAGUUUAAAAUGUGUAUUUUGGCGACCCGAAGUUGAGUAAAUUGGUUCAUCUGACAGUCCUAUAUGUUGGGGCCUAGUAUUAGGAUGGAGCAAUGAAUAUAUCUCCCUCAUGUUUACGGGCUUAUAUAGUUAGAAGCCAAUAGACACAAAAUCCUACUCAAGAUCCAACCGACUCCUUGACUAGAUUUUGUUCACUAUGUAUAUGUCUAAGAGCUUGAAUGGGUAGUCUGUCGAGUUAGGUCUGUGCGUUAAAGCACCAUUAAGUUCUGUUAUCAGACCCAUGAGCCUAACUUCGAAAUAUUAUCCUUUUAAAGGACCCUGAUUCACAGAAAUGUGUAAUCAAAUGUGAGGGCUUUGGCUGCGUUAGUGAGAUCGAGAGAGCUCACUUGAAUUGCUUCCCUAAAGUUGGAGAGAUCAGGGCAGAUGGAUUAAUGGUAUAUUGUCAUAUUGGUAUCUUUUCUUUCUGCUGUACUAAUAAGAUCAAUGGGUUAUCCAUCAAUUGUGCACUUCAUCAUCUAGUUGCCUCUAGCAGGUGAAGAAAAAAUCAUUCUUCUAUCACCUUCCUGAUUCUUUGCCCAUAAAGCAUGUUUUUCAAGGGGCGAAAGGAACAUGGUUUAUUCACAUUGAAGUGUGUUCUCGGAGGGUUUCUGAUAAGUCAGGUUUGUCAGAAUCUCGUGCUGCAGAAAUCAGGGAUCAAACCUCUAAUAGUUGCAACAUUACUGAAUCCCUUAAACAUGAAAACAGUUUAUCAAGUGCUAACAAGAACAAUUCGAGUUGCAGACGAAACAAAAGAGGGACGAAGAUAAUUCCACACCUGAACUCUGUACCUCAAUUGGCUUUUUGGAAGGGUCUAUCUUUCAAAGAAACGGAAGAGGGUAUAGAAAAAUUACUUUCUACAUCCUACAGUGGAAGGGCUUGAGCAAAGCCUCGGUGUAGGAAAUGAAGGAGAUAUUGCUUCAGAGAAAACUUUUUGCUUCUAUUACUAUAGGUGAUCAGAAUGAGGUGCGAAAAUCAAGUGCAUUAUUGGAGAAACCUAGUGAGUUUCAUUAAAAUUAACGUAAAAUCAAAAGUUUUAUAAAGUCACUGUUUAUUUUCAAAUCGAAAAUGGAUUCGACCAAUUCUAAAAAAAAAAAAAGAAAUGAUUAAACAAACCUUUCUUUGUCUCUUUCAUUUUUUUCUCUUCAAUCAAAACAAACAAAUAAGCUCUUAAUUCUAUAAUUCUUUGGAUUGGGCUGAAUUUUGGCAAGAUGCUAUUUUUUCAGUCAUUUUUUAGUACCCCCACGGGUUUUUAGGAUAAAUUUUUUUUAGUUCUAGCCCCCGUGUCAGUUUCAGGUGUCAUGAUGAAAUACUUUUCUGACUAUGAUGAGGUGACAUUUUGUUCUAAUUAUACAUCUAGAGCUUACAAAAGUCAACAUAGAGAGCAAAUGACGGCUGCGACAGAUGAUAAUUGCUCCAAAAGCUAGUGCAAUGCCACAGUUUACGCCCAAAACUCCUCCAAGAAGUUUUCCUUCUAUGUUGCCUCCUGACCUAAGUUGCAAAACCUCGAGGAAUAACAUUAAGAGACCUGAUGUUGGUAAGCGUCUUGUUGUGGCCUCAAAUAAGCUUGGUAUUUCUGCAAGUAUGCAAAAAUCCGCCACUGCUCUUUGUAGCCGUAGAGAUUGAAAAUUACUGGUGCCCGAAUCUUCUUCCCUUGUUAGAAGCACUCUCUUUGAAGUCGGUAGUUCUUAACUUCUUAUAAGGAGUGUGGAGGCUUCCCACAAAGAACCUUAUUGAACUAAUUAUAUGGUGCAGGGGCAGUUGGCUUUGUCCCUGAUCAUUGAAUAUUCUUCAUCUUGACCUUUUGCUGAUGACCUUCCUUAAUUGCGAUCGAUUCCAAGAGCAGGUAAGAGAUUUUCUUGUUGGGUGGGAGCUGAAAAGAUUGAAACUUUGAGCCUUGAGGACUUCUGGACUAAGUCUCCCGUAAAUAUUUCAUUCAGUUGGAGACUUGAGACCCUUCUCAGGCUCGGCUUUUGGUCUGGGUACCAUUCCUGUGCAGUACAUUAUGCAUCAACCGAAGUGUAUUGAAAGAGUUAUUUGUGUGUUGAUGAUUCCUCUUCGUCUAAAUAGCAUAUAUCCAAUUUAGGAUUUUGGUGAGACGAAUCAGGUGUUUGGAAUGAUGCCCUGGGUUGUGUGGGACUUCACCAAUCCUGUUUCUGUAUCAUUUUUUCUAUCUUUUAGAUUCACUAGAUCAUCUGGUUUUGCGCGGGAUAGAUGACUGGUGUUUUGUGUUGCUUUAACACUUUUGUUGAGUUUGUGCCUGAAAAAUGUAGGUAAUGGGGAAUGGUACCGUGAAGAUUUAGAAUUUGAUCUGGAUGUUUCUGUUGCAUAAAGUAUGAAAGUUUUUCUAGCA